UGUAGUCAUAUGCUUGUCUCAAAGAUUAAGCCAUGCAUGUCUAAGUAUAAGCGAUUAUACAGCGAAACUGCGAAUGGCUCAUUAAAUCAGUUAUCGUUUAUUUGAUAGUACCUUACUACAUGGAUAACCGUGGUAAUUCUAGAGCUAAUACAUGCUAAAAAUCCCGACUUCGGAAGGGAUGUAUUUAUUAGAUUAAAAACCAAUGCCCUUCGGGGCUCCUUGGUGAUUCAUAAUAACUUCUCGAAUCGCACGGCCUUGCGCCGGCGAUGGUUCAUUCAAAUUUCUGCCCUAUCAACUUUCGACGGCUGGGUCUUGGCCAGCCAUGGUGACAACGGGUAACGGAGGGUUAGGGCUCGACCCCGGAGAAGGAGCCUGAGAAACGGCUACUACAUCCAAGGAAGGCAGCAGGCGCGCAAAUUACCCAAUCCCGACUCGGGGAGGUAGUGACAAUAAAUACUGAUACAGGGCUCUUUUGGGUCUUGUAAUUGGAAUGAGUACAAUUUAAAUCCCUUAACGAGGAACAAUUGGAGGGCAAGUCUGGUAAUCG
rnacentral:rRNA from 1 species